AGUGAACGCUGGCGGUAGGCCUAACACAUGCAAGUCGAACGGCAGCACAGUAAGAGCUUGCUCUUACGGGUGGCGAGUGGCGGACGGGUGAGGAAUACAUCGGAAUCUACUUUUUCGUGGGGGAUAACGUAGGGAAACUUACGCUAAUACCGCAUACGACCUACGGGUGAAAGCAGGGGAUCUUCGGACCUUGCGCGAUUGAAUGAGCCGAUGUCGGAUUAGCUAGUUGGCGGGGUAAAGGCCCACCAAGGCGACGAUCCGUAGCUGGUCUGAGAGGAUGAUCAGCCACACUGGAACUGAGACACGGUCCAGACUCCUACGGGAGGCAGCAGUGGGGAAUAUUGGGCAAUGGGCGCAAGCCUGAUCCAGCCAUACCGCGUGGGUGAAGAAGGCCUUCGGGUUGUAAAGCCCUUUUGUUGGGAAAGAAAAGCAGCAUGUUAAUACCCCGCUGUUCUGACGGUACCCAAAGAAUAAGCACCGGCUAACUUCGUG
rnacentral:rRNA from 1 species